GAUCAUUAAAGAAAUUUAAUAAUUUUGAAAAUGGAUUUUUUUGUUUUGGCAAGAGCAUGAGAGCUUUUACUGGGCAAGAAGACAGGAGAUGGAGAGUCCAGCCGGGCCUGCGCUUAAGUGCGCGGUCUUGCUAGGCUUGUAAGUUUCUUUCUUGCUAUUCCAAACGGUGAGAGAUUUCUGUGCUUUUGUUAUAGGACAAUUAAAACCGUUUCAAUACAACACACUGUGGAGUUUUCAUAUCUUUGCAACUUUUUCUUUGGGCAUUCGAGCAAUCGGGGCCCAGAGGUAACAAACACAAACAAUUUUAUCUAUUCAUUAAAUUUUUGUCAAAAACAAGAAUUUUCGUAACUGGAAAUUUUAAAAUAUUAAAAACUUUCAACAACGGAUCUCUUGGUUCUCGCAUCGAUGAAGAACGCAGCGAAAUGCGAUACGUAAUGUGAAUUGCAGAAUUCCGUGAAUCAUCGAAUCUUUGAACGCACAUUGCGCCCCUUGGUAUUCCAGGGGGCAUGCCUGUUUGAGCGUCAUUUCCUUCUCAAACAUUCUGUUUGGUAGUGAGUGAUACUCUUUGGAGUUAACUUGAAAUUGCUGGCCUUUUCAUUGGAUGUUUUUUUUCCAAAGAGAGGUUUCUCUGCGUGCUUGAGGUAUAAUGCAAGUACGGUCGUUUUAGGUUUUACCAACUGCGGCUAAUCUUUUUUUAUACUGAGCGUAUUGGAACGUUAUCGAUAAGAAGAGAGCG
rnacentral:misc_RNA from 1 species